rnacentral:tRNA from 1 species
GGGAAUGUGGCUUAGCGGUAGAGUGCUUGCCUAGCAUGCAUGAAGCCCUGGGAUCGAUUCCCCAGUACCA